rnacentral:rRNA from 1 species
CCUACGGGUGGCAGCAGUGGGGAAUAUUGCACAAUGGGGGAAACCCUGAUGCAGCGACGCCGCGUGAGUGAUGACGGCCCUCGGGUUGUAAAGCCCUGUCCUCAGGGACGAAAAUGACGGUACCUGAGGAGGAAGCCACGGCUAACUACGUGCCAGCAGCCGCGGUAAUACGUAGGGGGCGAGCGUUGUCCGGAUUUACGGGGCGUAAAGGGGGCGGAGGCGGGGUUUUAAGUGAGGUGGGAAAGACUCGGGCUCAACCUGAGGGCUGCAUUUCAAACUGGAAGUCUAGAGUGCAGGAGAGGAAAAUGGAAUUCCUAGUGUAGCGGUGAAAUGCGUAGAGAUUAGGAGGAACACCAGUGGCGAAGGCGGUUCUCUGGACUGUAACUGACGCUGAGGCUCGAAAGCGUGGGGAGCAAACAGGAUUAGAUACCCGGGUAGUC